GAAAGCGUGGGGAGCGAACAGGAUUAGAUACCCUGGUAGUCCACGCCGUAAACGGUGGAUGCUGGAUGUGGGGACCAUUCCACGGUCUCCGUGUCGGAGCCAACGCGUUAAGCAUCCCGCCUGGGGAGUACGGCCGCAAGGCUAAAACUCAAAGAAAUUGACGGGGGCCCGCACAAGCGGCGGAGCAUGCGGAUUAAUUCGAUGCAACGCGAAGAACCUUACCUGGGCUUGACAUGUUCCCGACAGCCGUAGAGAUACGGUUUCCCUUCGGGGCGGGUUCACAGGUGGUGCAUGGUCGUCGUCAGCUCGUGUCGUGAGAUGUUGGGUUAAGUCCCGCAACGAGCGCAACCCUCGCCCUGUGUUGCCAGCACGUCGUGGUGGGAACUCACGGGGGACCGCCGGGGUCAACUCGGAGGAAGGUGGGGAUGACGUCAGAUCAUCAUGCCCCUUACGUCCAGGGCUUCACGCAUGCUACAAUGGCCGGUACAACGGGAUGCGACCUCGUGAGGGGGAGCGGAUCCCUUAAAACCGGUCUCAGUUCGGAUUGGAGUCUGCAACCCGACUCCAUGAAGGCGGAGUCGCUAGUAAUCGCGGAUCAGCAACGCCGCGGUGAAUGCGUUCCCGGGCCUUGUACACACCGCCCGUCAAGUCAUGAAAGUGGGUAGCACCCGAAGCCGGUGGCCCAACCUUUUUGGGGGGAGCCGUCUAAGGUGAGACUCGUGAUUGGGACUAAGUCGUAACAAGGUAGCCGUACCGGAAGGUGCGGCUG
rnacentral:rRNA from 1 species